rnacentral:rRNA from 1 species
UACAGAGGUCCCAAGCGUUGUUCGGAUUCACUGGGCGUAAAGGGCUCGUAGGCGGUUUGUCGCGUCGGGAGUGAAAACCCAGGGCUUAACCCUGGGCUGGCUUCCGAUACGGGCAGACUAGAGGUAUGCAGGGGAGAACGGAAUUCCUGGUGUAGCGGUGAAAUGCGCAGAUAUCAGGAGGAACACCGGUGGCGAAGGCGGUUCUCUGGGCAUUACCUGACGCUGAGGAGCGAAAGUGUGGGGAGCGAACAGG